CUUUACUGUAGCCUGGUAUUGGGUUCGGGCUUUGACUGCGCAGGAUAGGUGGGAGACUAUGAAGCUGCCCUUGUGGGGGCAGUGGAGUCAUCAGUGAGAUACCACUCUGUCAAGGCUAGAAUUCUAACCGUCUGCCGUUAUCCGGCGACGGAACAGUAUCAGGUGGGCAGUUUGACUGGGGCGGUCGCCUCCUAAAUGGUAACGGAGGCGCGCAAAGGUUCCCUCAGGCUGGUUGGAAAUCAGCCGAAGAGCGUAAAGGCAGAAGGGAGCUUGACUGCAAGAGCAACAACUCAAGCAGGGACGAAAGUCGGCCUUAGUGAUCCGACGGCGCUGAGUGGAAGGGCCGUCGCUCAACGGAUAAAAGUUA
rnacentral:rRNA from 1 species